CGACGCUCGCCGGACGCACAUUUCUGCACCUCGCCUGACUCGGCCGCUCAACUACUGGUAUGAUUAAUGCCGUUGAUUCUAUUUUUCGUGAAAAUUUGUUCGGCUGUAGUACCCGUGCUUGAACUGUUUAAGGCUCGUAUACACUAGUGUACCCGUGUUUGUCUGUAGUACCUGAGCCUCAAACAAAUUAUUUCUAAUAUCCUUAUGUUGAAUAGCUUCAGAAAGUUGGAGUAUCGCCUGCUUGAGUCUGUAUAUGAGUAUAAACUAGAUCAUAUAGACCACUGAAUCACACGGAUCUUCUAAGUAGUAUACUUAAAGCCCCAUUGCUAAAUCUGGCUAGUUACGCCUGAGAUAACUGAAUCCAAAAUUUUGGCCUGCGAUAUUGCUUCACUGUAUCUGGAAGCACUCUAGUUUUUCUUGCCACCUUGACAAACUUGCAAAGAGCGGUGUCAUCGGUCUUUUGAUGCAAGAUAGUUUUCAGGGGAUAUGCAAUUUAAUAUUACUAAGAAUGAAACUUAGAGUAUUCAGGAAUGUUUAUUCAUCUAUAUGAUUAAAGCAUAUAAGGAUCUUGAUCAUUCAACAAGCCUUUUUCCAAUACAUGAGCAGUGGAGUUAUAAUAAAAUCAUGAGAUAUAAAUGCAGAACCAUAGCAAUAACUCUUGGAUUAAGUCCUUCAUUUGUGGACACAGUUCUUCAUCCCUUACUAUGCCUAUCUUUUUGAAACCUUAGCAAUAACUCACAACUAUUCCUAUUUUUGUCGACAAACUUCGUGACCAAAUUUUAAGUCUCAUCGAUCUUGUGAGCUUCAACACCCUUUUGAUCCAAAAACUUCAGCUGCUUGGAGUUCUUGGCAAGCAGGAGGCGCAUUUUCUCUUCAGACUGGAAGGAAUAUUAUAGUAUAGAAGCUUCCACGGGUGUGCACAUUGCCCUGUUGGCUGUAUCCAUUUUCAGCUGAAGGAUAGGACUCAGGCAUAUGGCCGUGUGUUGCUACUGCAGCGGUCUACUCUGCUGCUAUCCCGGAGUACACUACUGCUGAGGUCCUGGAGCUGGCUAGGAACGCCAGUAAGGAUCUGAAGGUGGAGCGUAUCACCCCUCGCCAUCUUCAGCUGGCCAUCCGUGGAGAUGAAGAGCUGGAUACCCUCAUCAAGGGUACAAUUGCUGGUGGAGGUGUGAUCCCGCACAUCCACAGGUCCCUGAUCAAAGUAAUCCAUCCAGUUGUCUUGAAGUAACACAAUCUAGCAAAGGGAGUAUCUUUAGCUUAAACAGGACAUUUCACACCUGUAGUCUUGUGUGAGAUAAGCUACAUCUAUUAGCCUAUAGCUAUGCUUCCCGAUCGAAGUAAUCCGUCCUUGUAAUGCUUACCUGGCACUGCUUCAAUUAUUUGGAACAUUGUAUUCGUGUAUUCUUGUUCGUUUGUUCACUUCGUGAUAGACCCUGAAUGCAAAACCUUUUUUACA